AUGAACAUGGCACCAACUCCCUUUCUGAUGGUGCUGAUGACACUAUCACAUCUCAAGAUAGUGGGAGCAGAAUCUCUGAUCAAAUUCCGGAUGAGCUGGAGGGCAUUGACAGUAAGGCAUAUAGAGAUGAUCUCGAAUGAAACCAACAAAUGUCAGAUUUCUGAACCUGGUGUGGAGAACAAUGAGUUUACUUCUUCGAGGGCAGGUCAUGAUCAAGACAACACAAUGAGGAGGUGCUCAAGACUUGAACAAUACUGCGCAUGCCAGGGCCAUCCACAAUGUCAGGGUGAAAAACUUGGAGAUCGCCAAUGUGUUGCUGGUGUGGUCUGGGAAGGAGUAUGUGCUGUCACUGAAAAAUCUAGUUUGCCUCCUAUUGCCUUUCGAUCUGGUUGCUGGCCUGUGGUUCCGUGA
rnacentral:rRNA from 1 species